UACGGACUUAAAAUCCGUCGACU
rnacentral:tRNA from 1 species